UACGUAGGGGGCAAGCGUUGUCCGGAAUCAUUGGGCGUAAAGAGCGUGUAGGCGGCCAGAUAAGUCCGCUGUGAAAUCUCGAGGCUCAACUUCGAGCUGUCGGUGGAGACUGUCUGGCUAGAGUCCGGAAGAGGAGAAUGGAAUUCCUGGUGUAGCGGUGAAAUGCGCAGAUAUCAGGAAGAACACCCGUGGCGAAGGCGGGUCUCUGGGCAGUUGCUGACACUGAUGCGCGACAGCGUGGGGAGCAAACAGG
rnacentral:rRNA from 1 species